rnacentral:rRNA from 1 species
UACGUAGGGUGCGAGCGUUGCCCGGAUUUAUUGGGCGUAAAGGGCGCGUAGGCGGCUUGGCACGUCCGUUGUGAAAUCGCCCGGCUCAACUGGGCGGGGUCAGCGGAUACGGCCGAGCUUGAGCAAGCUAGGGGGCAAUGGAAUUCCCGGUGUAGUGGUGGAAUGCGUAGAUAUCGUAAGGAAGACCAGUGGCGAAGGCGGGUCUCUGGACAGUUCCUGACGCUGAGGCACGAAGGUCAGGGGAGCAAACGGG